UACAGAGGGUGCAAGCGUUGCUCGGAAUCAUUGGGCGUAAAGGGCAGGUAGGUGGUCUCGUUUGUCUGGGGUGAAAGCCCAGGGCUUAACCCUGGAAGUGCCCCGGAAACGGCGAGACUGGAGUCUUGGAGAGGGUCGUGGAAUUCCCGGUGUAGCGGUGAAAUGCGUAGAGAUGCGGAGGAACACCGAUGGCGAAGGCAGCCCCCUGGGCUAACACUGACGCUCAGGCACGAAAGCGUGGGGAGCAAACAGG
rnacentral:rRNA from 1 species